rnacentral:lncRNA from 1 species
GAAUCAUAGAAUCAUGGAAUGGCAUGGGUUGAAAAGGACCACAAUGAUCAUCUAGUUUCAACCACCCUGCUGUGUGUAGGGCUGCCAACCUCCAGACCAGGCUGCCCAGAGCCACAUCCAACCUGGCCUUGAAUGCAUCCAGGGAUGGGGCAUCCACAACCUCCUUGGACAACCUGUUCCAGUGCAUCACUACCCUCUGAGGGAAAAACUUCUUCCUAAUAUCUAACCUAAACGUCUUCUGUCUUAGUUUAAAACCAUUCCCUUUGUCCUAUCACUAUCCACCCUUGUAAACAGUCAUUUUCUCUAUAAAUUACAAUUUCAAAAUAGAACGCCUCAGUGAUUUUUAAGUGCUUUGUUACUAUAAAAUAUAUUCUAUGUUUCAGGAUUCCUAUGUAGAGAAAUGUGAUGUGAAGGUAGGUGUGCUGUCAAAUUAGUGUCUGUUCAUAAAAAACACUGGUAGAGUACUAAAGACUAAUGUGGAUUGUAGAAGAUCCUAAGAUUCAACAUAAAAUCAAUUUAUGACAACUGCUUAUACCUUCUGUCUGCUGCUAAAUUAUCUUCUUGAGUAUGAAGUGAACUUUACACUGGACAUCAUCUCUGGAAAGAUAUAACAUCUUUAUAUUUUCUUUUGACUGGCUUACCUUGCAAAGCCACUGCUGUCUCAGCAGCUUAGAUCUUCUUAGCAGCUGUCUUCAUAAAGGGAUGAGCUAGUAUACAUUAGUGAUGAUGAGUAUUUAAACAGAGAGAAAGUCAAAAACACAGAAAAGCCCUUGCCAGUUCAGAUUGUUGCUUUUAUAGAGGUUUGGUUGGUUUUUUAUGUUGUUUUUGUUGUUGUUGUUUGUUUGUUUGUUUAUUUUCUCUUGCAGUAGAAUAUGAGUAGGAGGGAAGAACUGCACAACCAAUUAUAUUUUAAGAAAGUGUAGACUGUCUUGAUGUCCAAAUAUAUGGCUCUUGUAGGAUAAACAGCAAGAAAUUUGAUGACUCAGAUCAUAAAUUUUCUGAGAAGGAAUUGUGAAGAACUUUUUAUUUUUAUUUUUUUUAUUUUUAUUUUUAUUUUUCUUACGAACUUUGCAUGCUAAAAUGAAAAUAAAUGUGGCCUAUCUGCCUUACAGGAGGAAACCCAAGGAAAUGUGCUUCAAAAUAUCAGCCACAGAUAUAACAAAGUACUUGUCAAAAUCGGCAAAGCUGCCUUUAUUUUUACAUUUUCUUAAUGGGCCACUGUUUCAUAGCAUUAUGUAGUUUAACCAUUCUUUUAAAGGUGACUCAUUGCAUAUGAUAAUAGCAUUACAUUAGCUACAGUAACAGUCUUGUGGAACUUAGGAAAAGUUGCAUGUAUACUGCAUGUAUGUAUUUCAAGAAACGUACUCUGUGUUGAAUGGAUGACAUAAUAACUACUGCGGUUUCUCUUCCCUUAAUGAUUUGUGUCAAGAAAAAAGGAAUAAACAGUCUCGUUAAAGAGACCAGUGGAAUCAAAAGGAGUUUAUGAAGUGUAUCAGAGUAGUUGAUACCACUGUCAAUUUCCUGUUGAACUGGUUUGAUUAGGGUGUUACAAAGAGAGCUACGUAGCAGAUUCUAACUAAAGCUUGAAAGCAGUGUACCAGUCAGACCAUUAACUGCAGAUGGAAGGUUGUGAUGAAUCAGUCACAGGUACCAAACUGCUGAAAAGAGCACAUUCUAUUAUUUCAUCAGAUUUAGUUGUAUAAUGUUGACCCUUAGUAUGCUAGGCUUAGUGAACAAUUCCUUCUGUGACUGAUUAUUAUGCAAAUCAUUUAAGACAUUGCUUUUAACAGUGUGACAGCUUUGAGGAAACAAUGAAAUAUUCCUGCAUAAUCUGCUUUCUGCCUCAAAGGUAUUUCCCAAUGGAAGAGAUCAUGAGAAAUGUAAAGUUUUUAAAAUGACAUUAUACGCAGGAUGCAGGAAGGCCCUUUAAUUAUGCCCUUAAGUACAGAAUAUUUGCUUAAUUGCUUAGUAGCCUUUGUAUCCUGAAAAUGUAAUUAAGUGAUGAUUAAAUAUCCAUUAUAAUAUUUUUCUAUUAUUAUUCUGUACAAGCUGCACAUUAACUUUUAAAGCCUUUAUCAUGUUUGGAAAUAAGCAAUCCCGGUUCUCAUCAGCUGCAAAGACUGAUUGUGAUACUACAAUAACUUACCUACAUCCUUCACUCAGUUAAUAAUACCUGAUGCAUCAGACAAACCAGAACAGCCUGUGGAAAUGGACUGGUAGUUUCACUAACAGUAGCUAAUUCUGUUUUAUGUACUGGGCCCUAUAUUAGACAAUAUGCUCAGUUGUUCCGGGCCAGCCUGUUUAAGGUAGGAUGCCAGAAGACAAAAACUGAGGUUAUAGCCCCUUAAUCUUCAUCUGAAUAUGAAUGUUGGUGCAGUACUACCAGAUGAAAGUACGGUGUUUUUUUUAAACAGUAAUUGUUUAAAACAUUGCUUGGGAUGUUGUAAACAAAGCUAAAUAUCCACUUCUAUCCUGGAGUCAACUCAAAUGAAUUCUUACUUCCUUGGAGAACUUUUUGGUCAGUGGGCAUGUGCCACUGUGUGGCAAAUUACCCAUGUUUCCCCUCAAAAUUCUGCUUCUGUUUACUGUGAACUCCAGAAGGAAUUUUAGGUCAGCAGUCAGCAGAUCAGCACUAGAUUUGAGGUGCUGAGGUGUGCAGAUCUGAAAUCCAAACCUAGGAUAUCAUCACAUCAGUUCAGAUUUAGUGCAGAUGUUAGGGUAUGAGGCCCCUUGUUUUCUUCCUGACUUCCAUAUCUUGGAAUUCUGUUCCAUGUGCCCCAUUGCUUUGUACCCCAGUAAAUUAUGAUUACCAUUUAUAGAGUUGAAGGACAGCAAAAUGAGAGAUGCAAGGCUCCUUUUACUCCUCUCCUGGAAUAAUUUAGUAAUCUAGAAAAGAACAUUUGAGUUUGAUCACAUUCACCUCCUAGCCAUUCUACCAAACAUUAGUUGCAUUAUUUGGUUUGUAAGAGGAUGUGUAAGAGGGAAAUACUUUUGUGAUGACCAGUAGCAUUGCUCUAAUUAUCAGCUGAUGCUUUACUUAAUCUGAUGAUGUUAUGUGUCAGAUAUUUUUUGAACUAAUUAGCUGAAUUUCUGGCAACAAGAAUAUGGAAAACUUGAGGUGUUUCUAGUGAUAGUAAUUAAGUCUAAGUUUUCAGUCAUCACUUCAAUCCUUAAGACUCUUAAGACUUGUUCAUGUAUCUUUCUCUGCUUUGUCAAGUAAUGAGGCCCUCCUGAAAAUUUCUGGAAUUGAAAAAUUUCUGAGGACAUGACUUUGCAAUAUUAGAGCUUUUGCAAUUCUAUAUAUAAUAAUUUGCAUACUUGUUGAAACCAGAAAUCUCUUUCUUAGUUGUGGUUCCAAACUUGUAUCUGUGAUAAGCAAGUGAAAUGAGAAACUGGAGAAAAGUGGGAUAAAACUCUUAAAAAAGGAAGCAAUGGAAGUUCAUUCUGAGGAUUUUUUUUAAUGAAAUGAUGAAUUAACAGAUUGACAGAAAGUUUGGUUCUGAAAGUCAUAUUAGAGUUACACUUCUCAGUCUUAUUCUGAUGGACAUAUAAACAGCACCACCUGAACCAGCAGGAUGCCUUAUCCAAAAUCAACUGGAAGCUUAUUUUUAGGAAUAAUACAUCUUUCUCUUUAAUAAUUUUAAAUGACAACUUUAUUAGAUAGAAUUAGCGCUAGAAAAUUAAAUUACAUUACAUACCAUUUUUGAUUAAUUAUAUAAAUCAUGGAGUUUAAUACUAUAAGUCUAUGUAUAUCACUAGCUGUUUUGCUAUAUUUCAAGUAUGAGGGCUGCUCUGAAAAUAAUGCCUCCUAUUUUAUGACAUUAGCUCACAAUGUCAGAGGCAGAUGUUGGUAGAGGCAGUAGAGGCAGAUGGCAGCAGAGGUUGAGCCUUCCUGCCAAUAUCCCAUUAUGUUUGGUUGCCAUAUGACAGAUGGCAGCAGAGGGUCAAUCUGACAAAACGACUUCUGACAUGGAAAUGUGUAUCCUCCCCCUGUCCUUAUAAGAGAGGUGCUCCAGCCCUCUAAUCAUUUUUGUGGCCCUCCUCUGGACCCUCUCCAACAGCUCUCUGUCUUUCUUGUACUGGGGGCUCCAUACCUGGACACAGUAC